UUUACCUGAUUUUUCGAGAGGUGGUGCAUGGCCUCGUCAGUUCGUACCGUAAGGCGUUCUGUUAAGUCAGAUAACGAACGAGACCCUUCGCCCUUAAUUGCCAACCCAUUCUCCGGAGUGGGCGCACAUUAAGGGGACCGCUGGCGCUAAGUCAGAGGAAGGAGAGGUCAACGGUAGGUCAGUAUGCCCCGAAUCUCCCGGGCUACACGCGCGCUACAAAGGAUAGGACAAUGGGAUGCAAUACCGAGAGGUAACGCGAACCCCGAAACCUAUUCGUAGUUCGAACUGAGGGCUGUAACUCGCCCUCACGAAGCUGGAUUCCGUAGUAAUCGCGGGUCAACAUCCCGCGGUGAAUAUGUCCCUGCUCCUU
rnacentral:rRNA from 1 species